rnacentral:rRNA from 1 species
UACGUAGGGUGCGAGCGUUGUCCGGAAUUAUUGGGCGUAAAGAGCUUGUAGGCGGUUUGUCGCGUCUGCUGUGAAAUUUCGGGGCUCAACCCCGAACUUGCAGUGGGUACGGGCAGACUAGAGUGUGGUAGGGGAGACUGGAAUUCCUGGUGUAGCGGUGAAAUGCGCAGAUAUCAGGAGGAACACCGGUGGCGAAGGCGGGUCUCUGGGCCGAUAUUGACGCUGAGGAGCGAAAAGCGUGGGGGAGCGAACAGG